rnacentral:rRNA from 1 species
CCUACGGGUGGCUGCAGUGGGGAAUAUUGGGCAAUGGGCGCAAGCCUGACCCAGCAACGCCGCGUGAAGGAAGAAGGCUUUCGGGUUGUAAACUUCUUUUAUCGGGGACGAAGCAAGUGACGGUACCUGACGAAUAAGCCACGGCUAACUACGUGCCAGCAGCCGCGGUAAUACGUAGGUGGCAAGCGUUAUCCGGAUUUACUGGGUGUAAAGGGCGUGUAGGCGGGAGUGCAAGUCAGAUGUGAAAACUAUGGGCUCAACCCAUAGCCUGCAUUUGAAACUGUACUUCUUGAGUACUGGAGAGGCAGACGGAAUUCCGAGUGUAGCGGUGAAAUGCGUAGAUAUACGGAGGAACACCAGUGGCGAAGGCGGAUUGCUGGACAGUAACUGACGCUGAGGCGCGAAAGCGUGGGGAGCAAACAGGAUUAGAUACCCCAGUAGUC